AAUCUUCCACCACAUAAUAUAUCAAAUGCAAGUUAGAGGCAUUUUAAUCACUUCAUAGGCUAGUAAAUUUACUUGCUGUUCACAACUCUAGAGGAAGCACUCAUUUGAGGAACAGAAAUGUCAUAAUAAUUUGGAUAACAAGGUCAAGUCUAAUUCAAGACUCUUGAAAUCCAAGGAAAAGUUCUCUUUACAGUGGCAUACUAUAUAUACAAUCUUACAUUCCUUAUGGUAUGAGGAAUUCAUAUCCAUUUAGAAUUCCAAAAUUAUAUAUGCAAAGAUAUUAUAUAAAUAUCAAAGUAAGGAACUGCAUCACAGUAAUAUUGAGGCUUGAAGAUCUUUUUCAAGAGUUAAGAAUUUAGUUUUUGGAAGAUAGAAAGCUAAGAUAGAACCUGACUGAAGUGUAGUGUUCUACAGAGAAACUUGAUUAAAAGAACACUUUCUAGCUAAGGAAAAAAGUGAUAACUUUAAUGGAAGGUGAAGUGUGCCCUAUGUUAAAUGAGAGAGUCCCAUUGACUUCAGGGGAUUUUGGAUCAGUCUGAGUUUUAAAUAUGCAAUUCCUGUGUAGGUUGUGCCCUAGCAGGAGCAGCUCAUGCAGUGUGCAGCCUACCAUCACAACCCUGGCUGAAAUGAAGGUCGUAUCAAGUCCUAAUGAUAUAUUUAGCAGCUGUUCAUUAGUUAUUCAGCCUAUAUCAGGUAUGAAGCCACUAUGAAGACAAUUGGCUAUACCUGUACUCUUGGGACACAUAUAAACCAGCAUAAGGGUCCAAGCCAACAUCACCGAUCCAGAACAUUAUGUUGAAUUUGGACACUCAGAGGUUCCAAUGCUUUCUCUAUUCUGCCCUCCUGCACCUUCCCACACAAAACAAGAAACAGAAGACCAGUCUGGAGAGAAUGGAGGGACUGUGCAUCCCCCAAGGAUGUGACCAAACCCAGGGAUGUGAUAUCAGACUAUGGGGAUUGCAUUCAGGAGUUGGCACUUUCAAGAGUACAGAAAAGAGUUAAAAUUUGGCAUUUGAUGAUGAAAGUUCCAUUAGGCUGCAUUAAGUGCCUUACAAGUAAAUAAGAGAUGAAGAGCUCUGUGUAGCUCGAAAACUUCUCACCCACAGAAGUUGUUCCAGUGAAACACCUUGUCUCUCUU